rnacentral:rRNA from 1 species
CGCGGCCUAUCAGCUUGUUGGUGGGGUGAUGGCUUACCAAGGCGACGACGGGUAGCCGGCCUGAGAGGGCGACCGGCCACACUGGGACUGAGACACGGCCCAGACUCCUACGGGAGGCAGCAGUGGGGAAUAUUGCGCAAUGGGCGGAAGCCUGACGCAGCGACGCCGCGUGGGGGAUGACGGCCUUCGGGUUGUAAACCUCUUUCGGCCUUGACGAAGACCUUUCGGGGUUGACGGUAGGGGUAGAAGAAGCACCGGCCAACUACGUGCCAGCAGCCGCGGUAAUACGUAGGGUGCGAGCGUUGUCCGGAAUUAUUGGGCGUAAAGAGCUCGUAGGCGGUGUGUCGCGUCGGUCGUGAAAACUUGGGGCUUAACCCUGAGCUUGCGGUCGAUACGGGCAUCACUGGAGUUCGGCAGGGGAGACUGGAAUUCCUGGUGUAGCGGUGAAAUGCGCAGAUAUCAGGAGGAACACCGGUGGCGAAGGCGGGUCCCUGGGCCGAUACUGACGCUGAGGAGCGAAAGCGUGGGGAGCGAACAGGAUUAGAUACCCUGGUAGUCCACGCCGUAAACGGUGGGCGCUAGGUGUGGGGGCCAUUCCACGGUCUCUGUGCCCGCAGCUAACGCAUUAAGCGCCCCGCCUGGGGAGUA